rnacentral:piRNA from 1 species
CCACUGAACACAAAUGUGGCACAGAGGCCA